rnacentral:piRNA from 1 species
CAAACGCUUGUCAAUGUAAAAAUCAGUGGGU